rnacentral:lncRNA from 10 species
GUGGUGAUGGGCAUCUGUAAUCCCAGCUACUCGGGAGGCUGAGGCAGGAGAAUCACUUGAACCCGGGAGGCAGAGGUUGCAGUGAGCCGAGAUCGCACCCCUGCACUCCAGCCUGGGUGACAGAGCAAGACUCCAUCUCAAAAAAAAUAAAGGAAAUAUGCGUCGUUGGAUGCUGUAUGACAAUCAAGCUACUUAUAACAAACAAAAUUGAGAAUGAAGGAUUAUGAUCCAAACUCAGCUGGGCCUCCCCUCCCUGCCCCAGGAUUGUGGAGUGAGAACGUUGCAGCAGGAGAGAACAACGCAGCAAAGCACAGCAGGGGAACCGGAAAUGCUCACCUUUUGACAGGACCAAACCAAUGCACAACUCCUACGUACUGAUGGUGGUCUUACGUUUCCCUAAGUUUCUGCCGACUAAACUGUGCACACGUUCUCAGGACCUCCUGAAGCUGCGUCACAGGCGCUGAUCAAAGAACACAACCAAGAGUUUGGCCUUUUCUUCAGCACUGGGAAUUGUGAUCCAAAGCUUUUCCUGAUGAGGCACAAAGUUGGAGAAACAAAACGCAAACUAAGCAACAAUGAAACAGAACAGAGUGAAUCUGCUGUAGCUCAAGAGAGGACGUAGCUGCCCCCACUCCGCAUCCCCGGGCUCGGGUUUGCCUUGCUGACCUCUGCUGCCACCUGGUGCCGCACAGAGAAACUGAGGAGAAACCACAUCAGUCUCCUUCAGCCUCAGCUUCACAUCUGUGGUGGGUCAAGCAACCCUUUCAGAAGCUGUAUAAUGUGGGAAAGCUUUCCUCUCAGGAAAAUGCACACAUCCAACUUUGAGAAGAUGCCCUUGGGGGCGCUUCAAGGAUCCUAGAUAAAGAACCCCCUUUCCCGAACAUCCAAGAACCUAAGUUUUUUUUUUUUUUUUUGAGAAAGUCUCACUCUCUCUCCCAUUCUGGAGUGCAGUGGUGUGAUCUUGGCUCACUGCAAGCUCCACCUCCCAGG